GUACGGAGGGUGCAAGGCGUUAUCCGGAUUCACUGGGUUAAGGGUGCGUAGGUGGGCAUGUAAGUCAGUGGUGAAAUCUCCGGGCUUAACCCGGAAACUGCCAUUGAUACUAUAUGUCUUGAAUACCAUGGAGGUAAGCGGAAUAUGUCAGUGUAGCGGUGAAAUGCUUAGAUAUGACAUAGAACACCAAUUGCGAAGGCGCUUACUACGCGGUUGAUUGACACUGAGGCACUGAAAGCGUGGGGAUCAAACAGGA
rnacentral:rRNA from 1 species